UAGCCCGAUAGCGCACAAGUAGAGUGAUCGAAAGAUGAAAACCACUUUGGAAAGAGAGUUACCAAGCACGUGAAAUUGUUAAAAGGGAAGGGAUCGCAACCAGACUUGCUCGCGGUGUUCCGCCGGUCUUCUGACCGGUUCUACUCGCCGCGUUGCAGGCCAGCAUCGUCUGGUGCCGCUGGAUAAGACUUGAGGAAUGUAGCUCCCUCGGGAGUGUUAUAGCCUCUUGUGAUGCAGCGAGCGCCGGGCGAGGUCCGCGCUUCGGCUAGGAUGCUGGCGUAAUGGUCGUAAUCCGCCCGUCUUGAAACACGGACCAAG
rnacentral:rRNA from 1 species